UUUUGCCUUUGCACAAAAUUUUGCUGAAAGUAAAGAUAGAGAGGAUUAGCAUGGGUCCUCAAGGAAGACUUGGCUAUGUGAAAUAUUCCAUAUUUUU
rnacentral:snRNA from 1 species